GACGAACGCUGGCGGCGUGCUUAACACAUGCAAGUCGAGCGGUAAGGCCCUUUCGGGGGUACACGAGCGGCGAACGGGUGAGUAACACGUGGGUGACCUGCCCUCAGCUCUGGGAUAAGCCUGGGAAACCGGGUCUAAUACUGGAUAUGACUCCAUGACGCAUGUUGUGGGGUGGAAAGCCUUGUGCGGCUGAGGAUGGGCCCGCGGCCUAUCUGCUUGUUGGUGGGGUGAUGGCCUACCAAGGCGACGACGGGUAGCCGGCCUGAGAGGGCGACCGGCCACACUGGGACUGAGACACGGCCCAGACUCCUACGGGAGGCAGCAGUGGGGAAUCUUGCGCAAUGGGCGAAAGCCUGACGCAGCGACGCCGCGUGAGGGAUGACGGCCU
rnacentral:rRNA from 1 species